rnacentral:pre_miRNA from 1 species
CAAAUACUCCCUCCGUCCGGAAAUACUUGUCAUCAAAAUGGAUAAAAGGAAAUGUAUCUAGACGUAUUUUAGUUUUAGAUACAUCUCUUUUUAUCCAUUUUGAUGACAAGUAUUUUUGGACGGAGGGAGUAUUUA